rnacentral:rRNA from 1 species
AUCAAGCAUGAGAAGCGUACAUGGAGGAUGAUUAGGCGUUCAGAGCCGAUGAAAGACGUGGCAUAACUGCGAUAAGCCUCGGAGAGCCGUUAAGCAGGCAGUGACCCGGGGAUGUCUGAGAUGCGGAAACGCACUGGAGGUAAUGCUCCGGUAACCCAUGGUGAAUACAUAGCCAUGUGGUGGGUAACGUAGGGAAUUGAAACAUCUUAGUACCUACAGGAAAGUAAAGAAAACUCGACUCCCUUAGUAGCGGCGAGCGAAAGGGGAAUAGCCCAAACCAAUGUUGUGUCAAGGUUGUGACCGUUGCAAUGUUGGGGUCGUGGGACUUCCAGAUGGAAUCACAGGUCCAUCAAAGAGUUACAAAACACUUACUUAGUUGAAUGACCUGGAAAGGUCAGCCGUAGAGGGUGAUAGCCCCUUAAGCGAAAAGUAUGUGUCUCUUGGAAGGAUCCCAAGUAGCGCCAGACACGUGAAACCUGGUGUGAAUUCGCGGGGACCACCCCGUAAGGCUAAGUACUACUGAACGACCGAUAGUGACUAGUACCGUAAGGGAAAAUUGAAAAGAUCCCCUGUUAGGGGAGUGAAAAGUACCUGAAACCAUGUACGUACAAGCGGUAGGAGGCCUAUGCUCUUCGGAGAAUGGUUGACUGCGUGCCUUUUGCAUAAUGAUCCGGCGACUUACGAUGUCAGGCGAGGUUAAGUGUCUCCGGCACGAAGCCGAAGGGAAACCGAGUACUAAUAGUGCGUUCAGUCGGGCGUCGUAGACGCGAAAGCAGGUGAUCUAACCAUGGGCAGGGUGAAGCGUGUGUAACAGCACGUGGAGGCCCGAACCGGUGUAGGUUGAAAACUACUCGGAUGACUUGUGGUUAGGAGUAAAAAGCUAAUCGAACUUGCAGAUAGCUCGUUCUCCCCGAAAUAGCUUUUGGGCUAGCGUUGGGUAAAAUAAUACAYGGGGGUAGAGAGACUGAUUUCGAUUGGAGGGCCACCAGCCUAUCCACCGAAGCCAAACUCCGAAUACCRUGUGUGGUACCCCAGCAGUCAGUCGGUGGGCGAUAAGGUUCAUCGACGAGAGGGAAACAGCCCAGACCGCCAGCUAAGGUCCCCAAACUAGACUAAGUGUGGUUAAGGAUCUGAGGUUGCUAAGACAGUCAGGAUGUUGGCUUAGAAGCAGCCACCAUUUAAAGAGUGCGUAACAGCUCACUGAUCGAGCAACCUUGGGCCGAUAAUAAACGGGACUCAAGUYUAGUACCGAAGCUGCGGAUUCGAUGUAGGGAAUACAUCAGAGUGGUAGGGGAGCGUUGUCUUUGCRUUGAAGCCAUACGGGAACGAGUGGUGGAGCGAAAACAAGUGCUUAUGCCGGAAUGAGUAACGAUAAACGAAGUGAGAAUCUUCGUCGCCGAAAAUCUAAGGUUUCCUGGGGAAGGCAAAUCCGCCCAGGGUUAGUCGGGACCUAAGGCGAGGCCGAAAGGCGUAGUCGAUGGACAACUGGUCAAYAUUCCAGUACUACCGGMGAUCRUUUGACCGAUGGUGUGACGGAUUCGCAAAGAUAGUCGUGGCGCUAGUCGUCCACGUACAAGCUUGAGGGCCGCAGUAGGAAAAUCCGCUGCAUCAGUGCCUAGGAGUGAUGUCGAGGCUUUAAGCCGAAGCUAUUGGAGUGGGUUCCUGGAAAAGCAUCUAGGGAGAUCAAAGGUACCCGUACCAAAACUGACACAGGUUGAUGGGAAGAGAAUUCUAAGGCGCUCGAGAUAACCUCUGUUAAGGAACUCGACAGAUUGGUCCCGUAAGUUCGCGAUAAGGGGCGCCCUGGCUGGUGAUUGGACUUGCUCCAUGAGCUGACUAGGGUCACAGAAAAUCGGGGGUGGCGACUGUUUACCUAAAACACAGGACUCUGCUAAGUCUUAAAGACGAUGUAUAGGGUCUGACGCCUGCCCAAUGCCGGAAGGUUAAGAGGAGGUGUUAGCUUCGGCGAAGCUCCGAAUUGAAGCCCCGGUGAAUGGCGGCCGUAACUAUGACGGUCCUAAGGUAGCGAAGUUCCUUGUCGGGUAAGUUCCGACGCGCACGAAUGGCGUAACGACUGCCCCAUUGUCUCAACAGAGGGCUCGGUGAAAUUGUAGUCGAGGUGAAGAUGCCUCGUAGCCGCACCAGGACGGAAAGACCCCGUGAACCUUUACUGCAGCCUGAUAUUGGGCUCUGGUACAGCAUGUGUAGAAUAGGUGGGAGGCUUUGAAGCGGGCACGCUAGUGUUCGUGGAGCCACAAUGUGAAAUACCACCCUUGCUGUACUAGUGUUCUAACUUGGUACCCUGAAUCGGGGCCAAGGACAGUUUCAGGUGGGCAGUUUGGCUGGGGCGGUCUCCUCCUAAAGAGUAACGGAGGAGUCCGAAGGCACCCUCAGGCUGGUUAGCAAUCAGCCGUAGAGCAUAAGGGUAUAAGGGUGCUUAACUGUGAGACACAUAAGUCGAGCAGGUGUGAAAGCAGGGCCUAGUGAUCCGGCGAAUUCCGAGUGGAAGGGUCGUCGCUUAACAGACAAAAGGUACUCCGGGGAUAACAGGCUGAUCUCCCCCAAGAGUCCAUAUCGACGGGGAGGUUUGGCACCUCGAUGUCGGCUCAUCGCAUCCUGGGGCUGGAGAAGGUCCCAAGGGUUGGGCUGUUCGCCCAUUAAAGCGGUACGUGAGCUGGGUUCAGACCGUCGUGAGACAGGUCGGUCCCUAUCCGGUGUGGCUGUAGGACACUUGAAGAGGUCUUUCCUUAGUACGAGAGGAUUGGGAAGGACGAAGCUCUGGUGCACCAGUUGUCUCGCUAGAGGCACAGCUGGGUAGCUAACUUCGGAAAGGAUAAACGCUGAAAGCAUCUAAGCGUGAAGCCCUCUCUAAAACUAGGUGUCCCAAUCAGGGUCGUGGGAGACUACCACGUUGAUAGGCAGUAGCUGUAAGCACGGUAACGUGUUCAGGCGAGCUGUACUAAUAACCCGAACGGCUUGAUUCCCUUUUC